rnacentral:rRNA from 1 species
AGUGAACGCUGGCGGUAGGCCUAACACAUGCAAGUCGAACGGCAGCACAGGAGAGCUUGCUCUCUGGGUGGCGAGUGGCGGACGGGUGAGGAAUACAUCGGAAUCUACUCUGUCGUGGGGGAUAACGUAGGGAAACUUACGCUAAUACCGCAUACGACCUACGGGUGAAAGCAGGGGACCUUCGGGCCUUGCGCGAUUGAAUGAGCCGCUGUCGGAUUAGCUAGUUGGCGGGUUAAAGGCCCAACAAGGCGACGAUCCGUAGCUGGUCUGAGAGGAUGAUCAGCCACACUGGAACUGAGACACGGUCCAGACUCCUACGGGUGGCAGCAGUGGGGAAUAUUGGACAAUGGGCGCAAGCCUGAUCCAGCCAUACCGCGUGGGUGAAGAAGGCCUUCGGGUUGUAAAGCCCUUUUGUUGGGAAAGAAAUCCAGCUGGCUAAUACCCGGUUGGGAUGACGGUACCCAAAGAAUAAGCACCGGCUAACUUCGUGCCAGCCGCCGCGGUAA